GACGAACCGAGCGAACGUUAUUCGGAAUCACUGGGCUUAAAGGGCGCGUAGGCGGGCCGCCAAGUCAGGGGUGAAAGCCCCCAGCUCAACUGGGGAAGUGCCUUUGAUACUGGCGGUCUCGAGGGGGAUAGGGGCGUGCGGAACUUCCGGUGGAGCGGUGAAAUGCGUAGAUAUCGGAAGGAACACCGGUGGCGAAAGCGGCGCGCUGGAUCCCUUCUGACGCUGAGGCGCGAAAGCUAGGGGAGCAAACAGG
rnacentral:rRNA from 1 species